GUGCGCAGCCAUCGAAGAAGUCACGGGUAUAAGAGGCGAGGCGCCGUCGAACGCGGUACCACACCUGCUCCAGACGCCAUCCCAGAUUCAUCGAAAGUUCACUUCAGCAGCAGUUAGAUGAAGAGAGGCCUUUUUUGCGGUCCCUCAAAAUACCUGAGACUGGACCACUCUCUGUCCUGUGCCAGAGGAAGCCGAUUGGCCAAUUGCGGCAAUAAACUCGAAUUAAGCGUCUUGGCUCUUCGCUACCGAGUUCCUUGAGUCACUCUACCUCGGAGGCACCUAUUGGACCCUUUUCAUCACAGUUCCCCUCCGUCUAGCAACCAGGCCAGCCAUCCUCGAAAUCAGGAGUGAAAUCCUGAUUACAUCACAAGAAAUAGUACUAGGUCCAAGUCUGCCUUUCUCCUUACCUUAUAAGCUACUAUAAUUUUAUAAGAUAACCACCUAGUUAUCGAGACUUAAUCUUAAAGGUAUUCUUAGCAUUUUUGUGGAACUAGUACAAAAACUCCUACCAAAAUGGUUCUUGAACAGUCCUGCUCCUACAACUAUGUUGCUGCCGAUCCCCAGGCUAGAAAGUCGACGUACAAAACCAUGCAGUUGGGCGGCGGCAACGUUGCUAGCCAAGUGAAGGGCGCGAAGAAAAGCAGCAGCACCAGCAGCUGCCCAGGCAAUAAGCCUAACCCUUGGGGACCCAUCUACAAAAACCGCCAGCAUUUCGUCGACAUGCAUCUGUGUUAGCUGAGCUUCAGGGACUCCCUAUGCCCGAAGAAUCUUUUUUUUUUUUCUUUAUCUCUCUUGAUAUGGAAAACGUCAUUUGCAUCUAGUUUUUAAAGCUUUUUCAAUUGGAAUGUAUUAGGAAAGAAUACUCAACUUUUAUGAUUUGGUACUGAAAUUUUAUCUACUUCAAGUUUUAUCUGUAGAUUCGGGAUGACAGCGUAACGCUAUUUCAGAGACGGGAGAAAUAUCAAAAGAGAUCAUGACUUACAAGCUUAAGAAUCUAAACUCAUACCUUAACUGAAAAAAUCAAUUGACCUUCAUGCACAUUAUUAUUCAAAAUAUACAGUAAAAAAGCAUUUUUUUUAAUGUCUUUAAAUUCUUAAGGCAUUGAGACCAUUUCAUUUUCAUUUCACACGGUUUAUACAAGGUAAAUUACUGGAAAUCUGACAGUGUGCAUUCAUAUUUAUUUUAAUAAAAUAUUAGAAACUUU